rnacentral:lncRNA from 1 species
UAAAUACAAUUAUAAUCAUGAACCUACAAAAUUUCACCUGUAGAUCUAUUACAAAACUCUUGAAAUCACCCAAAAUAUAAAUCCUAUUUUAUUUCAUAAAACCCAAGUCAUCCAAAACAAAACCUUGACUUUGCACAAAGUCAUAACAACUUCAAAUUGCUCAAAUCUAAUGCUUAUAGAAAGCCUAUCCCGUCUACUAUCAAACCUCACUCUUUGAUUUGCAAAAGAACCCCGGAAUCGUCAUCGAGACUCGAUUUUGUGCCUAAAGGUCUGAUUUCGACCUUGGUUCAUAACUGGCCCUCUUCGGGUAUCAACAUCUAGUUCUUCUUAGUAAUUUUUACUAGAGUUUACUCUUAGCUUCCUUCUAAAGAUUCUUAUAUCAUUUAUUUUUCCAACCUAAUUUUUUUUGCCUUAUUUAUGGUCCUACAAAGUAAAUAGAAGUCACCUUUCUAAAAGGCAGCAUUGGUACCUUUUAAUUUUACUACCCCUUUGACUAUUAACUAUAUUUUUAAGAUAAUUUUUUCUAAUAUUUUGAACUAAGAUCUCUUAAAUAAAAAUAAUCUCCACACUCUUUCACCUAUUAGUCAUGUUACAUCAUGACAAUGCUCCUUCCAUCCUCUAGAUCAUAGUUUGUGAUGUAUUCUUCCACUAAUAUCACAUUAAUUGAUGACAAGCUAUCCGACCUUUGUAAGAACUCAAACAUUUGUUCAUUUCAAAAAUCUCAUAUUUUUCUUGGCAUCUAGCAGAUCUUCAAUUUCAUAAGCUCUAUAUUGGUAACAAUUAGUACGGAUGGUGGUUCCAAACUGCAUUUAGCUUUCAUAUUUCAGCCACUUUCUUUUUUUUCUGUAGCUCUCUUUGUACUCUCAAUUGCCAUGACACAUACUUUUCCAAGCUCUAACCAUCAAUGGUAUUCUCCAGUAUUCUCAAAACACAAAAAAUUACAACACAAAAAAAUAACAAAAAAAUGCGAUACCACAAAAUGACCUUGAAUGGGUACUCCACUCCCAUUCUUUUACCUAAUGGUGAUAAUGACACAUGU